UACGUAGGGUGCAAGCGUUAUCCGGAAUUAUUGGGCGUAAAGAGCUCGUAGGCGGUUUGUCGCGUCUGCUGUGAAAACCCGAGGCUCAACCUCGGGCCUGCAGUGGGUACGGGCAGACUAGAGUGCGGUAGGGGAGAUUGGAAUUCCUGGUGUAGCGGUGGAAUGCGCAGAUAUCAGGAGGAACACCGAUGGCGAAGGCAGAUCUCUGGGCCGUUACUGACGCUGAGGAGCGAAAGCAUGGGGAGCGAACAGG
rnacentral:rRNA from 1 species